rfam:Planctomycetes bacterium GWC2_45_44 gwc2_scaffold_2191, whole genome shotgun sequence.
GCCCCCAUCGUCUAGCGGCCCAGGACGCCGGGUUCUCAACCCGGUAACAGGGGUUCGAUUCCCCUUGGGGGUA